rnacentral:rRNA from 1 species
ACACAGCAAUGUGUGGCAUACGGCUCAUUAACACGUAGCUAACAUGCCCAGGGGACGUGGAUAACCUCGGGAAACUGAGGAUAAACCGCGAUAGGUCACUACUUCUGGAAUGGGUAAUGACCCAAACCUAUAUGGCCCCUGGAUUGGACUGCGGCCGAUCAGGCUGUUGGUGAGGUAAUGGCCCACCAAACCUGUAACCGGUACGGGCUCUGAGAGGAGGAGCCCGGAGAUGGGCACUGAGACAAGGGCCCAGGCCCUAUGGGGCACAGCAGGCGCGAAACCUCUGCAAUAGGCGAAAGCUUGACAGGGUUACUCUGAGUGAUUUCCGUUAAGGAGAUCUUUUGGCACCUCUAAAAAUGGUGCAGAAUAAGGGGUGGGCAAGUCUGGUGUCAGCCGCCGCGGUAAUACCA